rnacentral:lncRNA from 1 species
CUUAAAAUCACAUAUAUGGAAGGACUUUAGAAUAUCAAGGGCUCUAAUAAACCCUUAUGUAAAAGAUAUUCUUGGCUAGAUAGAUUUCAAAUAGUCAAUUUUCAUCAGUCGACAACCGUGCCGUUUUGUUUUCAAACAAUGGUGACGUAAUUAUGAUAAAUGAUAAUUCAUGUAAAAAUGGAGAGGCGCAUUGUGUUAUUUACUAGAGAAUACUAGGUUAAAUUAUCGACAUAAUAAAGGUGUUAUAAAACAGG